GUAUGAGUUUAUAUUUGUCUUUGUUACAAUGAGGAGAGAGAAAAAUGGGAGAGUAACCAGAAGGUUCCCAUUUCACACCAUCUCCAUUGAUAAGCAUGUGGAAGGUUGAUUCGAUUCCGCCAUUCCUCCAUUGAUAAGCAUCAGGCUUUUUUAAUUAGACUUUUUGCUGUAGAAGCCACUGAGUUGCAACUCUCAGAGAUGAUGCAGAAGGACAGACAAGCAGCAUCACGGAAAAGCAUCUGAAAGCACAACCAAAGUGAUACACUUCCUACAAGCUAACAAGAGGAGCAUAAGAGAUCAGAGGCAAGCAAGAAGCUUUUGACAAUAUUAGGGCUUAAUUAAACGCAACAACGGUGAACAGAAGAAUGAACAAAUAAUCUGUUUUUUUUAUUUUUUAUUGUGCGUGUAGUUCAAGCGUAGGGAGAGAGAUUUAAUAGAUGGGUCAAUGCCGGAAAGUUGACUUGUUGGCCGGAUUUCGACAGCAAGGUGGCUAUUUCAAUAAAAAAUAUUAUAUAAGGUGUUUUUUCACAAAAAAAAAUAUAUAAGGUGUUUUCUUACAAAAAGUUAAACAAAUAAGGUGUUUUCUCGCAAAUUUUCCUAAAUUAAGACCAUUAAUUUGAUAAAGAUCAAAAUCCAACCAUUGAUUUAAAUCCCUUUCUAACCCUAACCCCCUCUUCCCUCCCAUCCUCAUUCCUCAGCCUCCUUCACUCUCACUUCUCCUUCAACCGAUUCUACUCCUCCCUCUCAUGGUAGAUCUCCUUCAACUUUCUCUCUUUGCGGCCAUUUCUUUUCCUCAGACAGAAGGUAGAGCAAACUAGCAGUAGGUGAAUUGGAUAAUACCGACUAUCAUUUGCGGCCAUCAAAAAACAUCAAUCUCAACCAAAUAUUUCAUUCGUCGGUGGUGGCGGUUUGGCCGUUCGGUUAUGGUGGUGGUCCUUCGUUUCAUUCAUUACAUUUCCUCUUCUUUUCCCUUUUUUUUUGUCUUAGAUCUUCACUUCUCCUGUUCUGUAGAGUUGAUUAAUCAGACAGGCAAAAUGUACAAAGAUAUGAAGUAGUAUGAUUGCUGAUGGCUUACGGGCAAGUUCAUCAUAUGCAUCCUUGCCAACAGCAAAGAUGCUCACAUCUCCAAAUAAUGUGUAAACGAUAUACACUGAUCUGAAAAUUGGCAGACAUGCUAAUUGAUCAGUAAAAAAUCAAACUUAUGUUAGAUUUAUACAUGUUAUCUGUAAAGUUCGAAUUUGAUAUAUUUUUUUUAUUUGCUUUGGUAUAUGUAGAUUUAUGCUUGGUUUGUCUAUAUCUUCCUUAGAAUACCUGAAAUUGGUUCAGAUUUUGGUGUGUAUUUUUGUUAUUUUCUAUAUAUUUUUAUUUUUUUAUUGUAA